AUAUAUCAGGAUAAGGUGUAAUCUCCAACACAUGUUGCCAGUUGAUAGGAUAUAUGAUGUUGUUAUAAGUCUCUUCAUAAGCAGACUUGGUAAACCAAUGGGCAAUAUAUUCUUCUGCAUUUAAGUUCAAGAACUUCAUUGCAGUGAUGGCAUGAGUGCAAGGAAUGCCACUGAUUAACCAUCCUCUACAACUGCAGUC
rnacentral:lncRNA from 1 species